AUGCCCAGUGAUUAUAAAAAGACGCGUUAUUCUGAGGAACACAGCCUGCUGCCAGUCCAUCUUCUACCUUGUCCUCUGUCUUUGAUCUCCAUCUUUCUCAUCCUUCCUCCUCCUCAAGCUGGUAGCUGGUCCGCUGACUGCGAUUAUGAGAUAUGAGGGCAU